UUUUUGUAAAAAACGGCACAAAAGAUAAGCCGACGUUUUUCUAAAAAAUGCGACAAAAAAUCUUACACAAAACAGCCCCGUUUUGUUGCCCCAAAAUGCCUUAAAACUUUUUCCCUAAAUCGGUUCCCCCUUCCCCCGAAAUCCCAAAAUUUUGACAUGAAAUCUUUUUUUUUCCCUCCUUUCUUUUUUCCCAAAAUCCUUUCUAAACUUGAAUCCGUUCAUCAUUUAAAUCAAUGGCUGAAGAAGCAGCAGUAGCAUUGACGCCGCCUCAAUCAUCUGCGCCGCCGUUGGGAUCUACCGUUAUACCGGUAGUGAACAAGCUACAAGACAUAUCGCUAAACUUGGUAGCCAGUCCACUAUAGAGUUGCCGCAGUUUCCCGACGCCUAGCCACUCUACCCAGCAGUGAACUCGUAUGUCUUUUACAGAGCAGGAAUUCAAUCCCUGGAAUUUGCGGAGUAGAGCUUCAUAAUGAACGACUGGCUUUCAAGCACAUGGCAAAAAUUGCUGGUGUGGAAGAAGACAAUAGGUAGUGGAUUGUUUAUACAACUGUUAGCUGAUCAAACUAGCUGAAUUUGAUGAAUAAUAUGGCAACAAAAUAGGCAUUGUAGAGUGGAAGCUGAUGUGGGUGAUUGGCGCUGCAUAUACAAGAGAGUUUAGCAGGAAAUGGGAUGGUUCACUUCUCAGGUGUUAUCCAAAAUGGUGGCAGUGGCAGAUAAAAUCAAGCCCUUUAGUGUUGCUCUUGAAGAAAGCAAAACCUUGUAAUUUGCCUAAUUCUCUACCAUUAUAAACCCUAAAACAUCACAAAGACCCCAUUACUGUCUCAGUCAGAAAAGGGCAUAAGCACGUGACUGCUUGCAUGUAAAACUAAGUUUCAUAGUUAUCUUUUGUGUACCAUCCCUCUUUUUACUAUAGUAUACUGUUAAUUUAUAUAACUUUAUUUUGAUUUAUCAUUUUGUAUUAUUUAGAGAUUGCAUUGUUUGGGUUUCUUAUUUCUAUUAUAUUAGCUCCUGGAAAAGGGACACAUUGUUCACGCAACUACGAGGAAUUUGGGUUAGUUUUUCUUCUCUCUUUGCUAUCUUUGGUUCAUCUGUAGAAGGUGAUGACUUUGUUUUGCUUUUAUUCGGUAUUAACAAUGAUUACAGUUGAUUUUAGUGGCAUUUUUGUUUAUUCCUUUUGGGUUAGGAUAAAAUCAAAGUAGUGAGUAGCACAGACAUUCCCUUUUUUACAUGUAUUUAUUUUCCUUAGGCUGCCAAAAUAACAAACUAAGGACUUCCAAUUCUGUGAAUUUUCUGAGUAACUUUUUAUUAUUGUUGGGUGAGAAGAACGUUCUAAGUGUACGACUACUCAAUUUAUUUAAAUUAAACCAAUUUUACCAUUCCUCUUCUCUUGUCUCCAUCUGUAUAAAAUUCUUUGUCUUUUAUUCUAUUUCCCGGGAAAAACUAAAAUGAGAAAAAAAACUCUAUUGUGGGUUUUUCCAAUAGACCAAUAAAAUAAAAUGAAUUCUGAAUUCUUGACAAACCAAGGAAAAAGAUAAGGUUGAGGGCCUCUUUAAAAUUUAUAUUUUUUUUAAAUAAGUCUUAUUUAAGUGUGAAGAGAGCAAGUUGUACUUGUAUGUAAGUUACCAAGCAGAAAGAGAUCUAAAUAAUUAGUGGAUGAUAGAAAUUUCAUAUGAUCUUGAAUUUGCUACUCGACAAGUGAUCAUUCUUUUUUGUCCGAGACUUGUUUUCUCUCAAAGUAAUGAUUAUGUAAUUCUCUUGAUAUUGAUUGGCUGCCUACUCUUAUAGGAUUAUGAGUAUGCAAAUUAUAAUCCUGUUGCCUUUGAUAUUGCAAAUCACUUCUAUGAGAUGGCUGCCGGUUAUACACAGAAACACCCCAUGUUACGGAUUAUAGUAAAUAUCCAAGUGAACCUUUUGGAUCUCAUUUUUUUCUUUUGGAUCUUUCUUUUGAUUUUUUACCUGUCAGUUGUUAGCUGCUUAAGGUGUAGGCGAUAAUACAGGAUUGUUAAUGACUCAAUUCUGCUUUAAGUUUACUACGCUUUUUAAUAUGUAUUUAUGAUCUGAAAUUUAAAUAAUUCAUUUGGACGAACAACUUAUUUUAGUGCCUGAAAUGCUGUCAAGGGGCAUGCUUCUUUUCUUUUCUUUUUAAUAUUAAAUUUUGUCCAUUUAUUCUGUCAGUUAGAGCAUAUUAAACGAUAUAUAUAUAUAUAUAUAUAUACAUGCAUAUAUGUGUGAGUGUGUGUGUCCCUUCUAUUAAAUUCGUCGUGAUGUAUUUAAUAAAGUCAAUUUUGUGUCUGGCUGCAGGCAUUAGUGAUAAUAAGAUAUAUCAUAUUAUCACUUAAAUCUUAGAAGUGUUUUUGCCAGAAGGCUGACUAGGCUACCUUCAAUUCCUAAGAAUGAUGCAAAGAUCAGCUUAUUAAGAGAGUAAGAUGGCAUCCACUUUCACAGCUAUGUCAUCAGUUGGCUCAUUCGUUGCAUCUAAUGGUUUGGCCAUAAAAUAAUUUAUGGUUUUGCUCAAUCAGGUGACCGAGAUUCCGUUUAACAAUUUUCUUUAUUGCUGGAACAAGUCUUAACUAAGAUCAAGACCAAAGUACUUCACUAAGUUAUAUAUGCAGGCAUUGCAAUACUUUGGCUUCAUUCAAGCUUGAACCAGCCCUCUGUUGUAUAUUGUUUCUUCUUCUUUUCUGAUCUUUUUUCUUUGAUUAAUGAGAGGUGAUGAUGAUUUGGCAUUAUUUUUUCACCGGAUGAAUUUUGUUUUAGUAAUUGUAAUACUUUUUGUGUGUGUUUUUUAUAUAUGAAAUUAUAUAUUGAAUCAA